CAAUCGGUCCUUUUCAGGACCAUAAAGUAAAUAACAUGAAGUGAAUU
rfam:Nicotiana sylvestris Nsyl_contig391728, whole genome shotgun sequence.